AGCACAAUUGCUGGAUCAUAUGGUCAGAGUAUGUUUAAUUUUGUGAGAAAUCACCAAACUGUCUUCCAAAGUGGCUGUACCAUUUUGCAUCCCCACCAGCGAU
rnacentral:pre_miRNA from 1 species